CAGCCGCCGCGGGAAUACCGAGGGUGCGAGCGUUAAUCGGAUUUACUGGGCGUAAAGCGUGCGUAGGCGGCUUUUUAAGUCGGAUGUGAAAUCCCUGAGCUUAACUUAGGAAUUGCAUUCGAUACUGGGAAGCUAGAGUAUGGGAGAGGAUGGUAGAAUUCCAGGUGUAGCGGUGAAAUGCGUAGAGAUCUGGAGGACUACCGAUGGCGAAGGCAGCCAUCUGGCCUAAUACUGACGCUGAGGUACGAAAGCAUGGGGAGCAAACAGGAUUAGAUACCCCCGUAGUCCCUGUCUCUUAUAC
rnacentral:rRNA from 1 species